AAGCAGGGGAUCGCAAGACCUUGCGCUUUUGGAGCGGCCGAUGUCUGAUUAGCUAGUUGGUGAGGUAAAGGCUUACCAAGGCUUCGAUCAGUAGCUGGUCUGAGAGGACGACCAGCCACACUGGGACUGAGACACGGCCCAGACUCCUACGGGAGGCAGCAGUGGGGAAUUUUGGACAAUGGGGGCAACCCUGAUCCAGCCAUGCCGCGUGAGUGAAGAAGGCCUUCGGUUGUAAAGCUCUUUCAGCCGGAACGAAACGGUCACGGUUAAUAACUGUGAUCACU
rnacentral:rRNA from 1 species